GUCUAUAUGCUAUAAUUAUUAUCAGACAGUAAAGUUUAUGCGGUGGCUAAUCCCAAUAGAAAUGGGGUGACGCCUAUGUUGAUUUGUGGCUUAAUCCCUAGAAAGGAAUAAGCUUAUCUGUUUUUGAAGCUCUGAUGUUUGCAUUAGCUUUUGCAACAUUGGUUCUGACGAUCAGCAACAA
rnacentral:sRNA from 1 species